UCCUCGCUCAAAGAAUCGCAACGAAGCACACGCACAGAGCGCCUCUCGGGGUGUCUCUUCCCACGCUUUGGGGAAAGUCCCCGGACAACGAUCAUCGCGAUCGCACUUUCAGCAACGAACCGCCAUAGAAGCCGCGGCUUCCAACCGAUCACGACAUUUCUCGCAUCUCUUUAUCCGUCUGCACUCUUUUCGACAGCUUUCACGAGGCUGCAGGGUGGGGAUCUGGCACUUGGAUGAUGAUAUGAGUCCGCUGGUGACCCGGUCUGCGUGCUGAAGGUUCGCUGGAGAUUGGAGGAGGAGGGAGUUGUUGGGAGGUGCCAGGUAUGGAGGGUCUUCUCGUCCAGUUUAUGGUUAUGCGAUUGCCUCCUUUGCGCUUCGGUCACACGGGGUGUCUAGGAGGUAACUCAAUGGGGCUCAUUCUUGAGGCGAGG
rfam:Pyrenophora tritici-repentis Pt-1C-BFP supercont1.3 genomic scaffold, whole genome shotgun sequence.